CCCUGCCAUUUGUACACACCGCCCGUCGCUCCUACCGAUUGGAUGGUCCGGUGAACUGGUCGGACUGAUAAUUGUCACUGCGGGUGCAGUAGCAUUACGGAAAGUCCGGUGAACCUUAUCAUCUAGAG
rnacentral:rRNA from 1 species